GGUUGAACCUGAUGUACAUGUGUCUUUUUUUUUCAACCUUACUUACUAUGUAAGUUGCUGUUUUUGCAGUUGCACAGCAGCACCCGAGCUCCAGUCCUCCCUUACGGAUUCUGGAGCUUACUGGACCGGAGACAGCCUGUUAAUUGACCACUACCUAACAGGUUUGCCAAAUUGCCAAAGUUGUGAGCAGAGUAAGAAUACUUAUUGUAUAGCAAGAUGAAGAGCAGCUCAGUGGCUCAGCAAAGCAAAAGUUCAGCAGCUACUCCAAAUUCUCCACCAAGGAUGAAAGGCAGACUGUGAAAUUGCAGAUUUAAUGAUAAUUGGCUUGCAGUUCCUGCCUUUACAUCCUGGUUGGCUCGCACAUCAGAUGAAAACUCUGCACAAUGCAUAGUUUCUGAGUGUAUUUGGUAUAAAAUACGAAGGUGUUGAUGCAGUAAAGCAGCAUGCCACUGGGAAGAGACAUCUAGCUGCUAUGCAGAGUAAGAAGAAGGGCAGCCUCAUAACAAAUUUCUUCUAUAGUGCACAGAGCAAGGAGCAAGAUUUUGUAACGGCAGCAGAGCUAACCCAAGUCUUUCAUGCAGCGAAGCACCACCACAGCUAUCUUAUCAUCAGACUGUGGAAGCAAGUUAAAUGUAAAAUUAUUCAGUGAUUCCCAAAUAUCUAUAUAAAUAUAGACACCAAUAACAUCAUUGCAUAUAUGGCAGAUAAUGCUUCUGUAAACUAUGGUAAACAUUGCUCAGUUUUUCAAAAGUUGAAGGCAUCCAACCCAGUCUCAUUAAGGCAAACUGCCAUGUUCUACAUAAUACUGCAAGACAUGCACUAAAAAUUCUAAGUUUUGAUGUAGAGAACCUUGUAUUAAAGGUUUUCAAUGAAUUUUCGUGCAGUGAACUUAAAACAUGCUUUGAAUUUGUCCAACAGGACUAUGAUAAGGUUCUCCGUCAUGUUCCAAUCCGUUGGUUAAGCCUUUCUGCUGCAGUAGAGCGGCUAAUUCUUGAUUUGGGAACCAAUCAAAAUCUACUUUUUGCAGUGUGGAGAAUCAGAGUGUCACUCUGCAAUCUGGAGCUUUAUAAAGGACCAACAAGAUUCUUUAAGUUAGUCACUUACAUUGCAGGAGUGCUACAUUUAUAUUGUGCACUCUUUUUUCUCCAAAUCAAUCAAAACUUUGGAGCAGGAUUCACUAACUUCUCCAGAACUGUUCAGAAUUAUGUUGGAUAUCAAAAGGCAGAUACAGGAUAGAAGAAAUGAUUUUUUUUUGGCUUUAGAGUAAAUAAAGAUUUGCCAAAACUGCCUGAUAAUGAGCAGAGAAAAUUCCGCCAAGAAGCUGCAGGGUGCUUUGACCGAGCCCUUGAAUAUUUAGAUAAGUGGUUUGAUUUUGAAUCAUCACCAUACAAAUAUUUUGCUUGUUUAAAUUUUGAGAAGGUGCCAUCACUAGAGGAGAUUGUAAAAGUUGGUGAACUUAUGAAUGUUCCAGUUACAGAGUGCAGUGAAGAGACCUGUACAGGGAGUGCUGUUUGUUGAAGUCGGCAUUUCCAGCAAUUAGGGAAAUGACAGCGCUCUCUUGUUCUGACAAGUGGCUUCAUUUCUUUCACAACACAGAAGCUCCAAACCUACUGAAAAUGGUUCAGGCAGUACUAGCUAUACCACGCAGUAAUGCUUUUGUAGAACGUGUUUUCAGUGUCAUGAAUAACCUGAGGAUCGACGAAAGGAACAGGCUUAACACAACCAUUGUUAAAAGUGAACUCUGCAUACGUUAUAAUUUACUUUAUUCAUGUUCCGAAUUUUAUGACAUGGCAAUUAAAAAUUGAGAACUGAUGGAAUGGUUGCUAUAAGAAUAACUAUUCUUGAAAGUGUUCUAGUGUUCUAGGAAACCAUAAGGAAGUAAUGUGUUUUGUUGCUACUUGCACUAAUUUGCACUUUUAUUUACAAGGGAAAGACAAGGCAUUUUGCGUACAUCAGGAACCCCAAUCUGUGAAUCUAAACUGUUACAUUAUUUGUAGCAUAAUAUUUUUCAUUGUCUACUGUUUUUUUGUAUGAAACACUAAUAGGAAGAUUUAUAGUUUGUUGCAUUUGUUGAAGGGGUGUUUUACCCAAAACCGCUUUUUUUUGCAUAUUAAGAGAGAGUUUUUGGCCAUGUUAUAUUUUGUUUCUGUGAAAAUAUAUGUCUUGCGCAAAAUUAAAAACGAAGUUGUAUAUUUUGUUCAAUAAAAGCAGUACAAGGGAAUGAUUUAUUUCUACUGCUUUUCUCUUUGCCUGAA